UGGGGAAUCUUAGACAAUGGGGGAAACCCUGAUCUAGCGAUGCCGCGUGGAUGAAGAAGGCCUUCGGGUUGUAAAGUCCUUUCACCUGUGAAGAUAAUGACGGUAGCAGGAGAAGAAGCACCGGCUAACUCUGUGCCAGCAGCCGCGGUAAGACAGAGGGUGCUAGCGUUGUUCGGAAUGACUGGGCGUAAAGGGCGCGUAGGCGGGAAUAUUAGUCAAGCGUGAAAGCCCCAGGCUUAACCUGGGAAUUGCGCCUGAAACGGUAUACCUAGAGGACGAGAGAGGAAAGCGGAAUUCCUAGUGUAGAGGUGAAAUUCGUAGAUAUUAGGAGGAACAUCAGAGGCGAAGGCGGCUUUCUGGCUCGUUACUGACGCUGAGGCGCGAAAGCGUGGGGAGCAAACAGGAUUAGAUACCCCCGUAGUCC
rnacentral:rRNA from 1 species